UCCCUUGUGGCUCAGCUGGUAAAGAAUCCGCCUGCAAUGCGGGAGACCUGGGUUUGAUCCCUGGGUAGGGAA
rnacentral:tRNA from 1 species